CUUGGUUUUAUUCUGAAAAUAGUGUAGACCUUAUGGAUUCCCUGGAAGUCUUUCAGGAACUCCUGGAGGGUACCCAGAUCACACUUUGAGAAUCGCCGCUCUAAGCCAAUAUGCAGAUUAAUGGAAUGAAUAACCGUGGUGUAUUUCCCACCUAAAAGACAGGCUCUGUGCUGAAGACCGACACUGACAGCUUUCGGCCAGGAACUUAUCUUUCCCAGCAACAAAGAACAGGGUAAGGACUGCUGGUCAGACUGGACUUCAAAAUUCCUGGAUCCUUAAGACCCAAUGCAUCAGACAAAUGUCCUGCUGGAUCCUCCCACCGUCAGCUAAGGGACAGUGCUAGCUCUCUGGUGAGGGAGAUCCGUGUGGAGGUCUCUGGCAUUCCUGGGUCAGUGGAUGGCUGGGAGAACUGCUCAGCUCCAGGUUCCAGGGCCUCUGAUCAAAGCCAACCCUGGGGGCCAGCCAGAGAUAUCGCAAACCUAAGGACUAACGUGGAAUCUACACCUGCCUUGGGAGUAAAGAACAAGCAGGGUGCUUUCCGGGAUGGCUUUGGGAUGAGAUGCCCAAGACUUAGUGCCCCUGGCAUUGCUCAGCUCUCAAGCUGACUUCCACAGCACCCCCAUGGAAGCUUCAUUGGUGCAUCUUUGGGUCUUGAAUGCAGUGCUACAAUAUUGACGAGGAAAGUCUCCUUGGAACCACAGGAAGACAAAAGUGCAGAGUGAUUUGCUGGCCUUGGCUAGGACAGGGUCCAGGGUGCAGCCAAGGGAGGGUGAUCUAAGCCAGCCAUUCUCCUAGUGUGGCUCCUGGACUAUGCGCAACAGCAUCACCUGGGAGCUUGUUAGAAACACUGGUUCUCAGUUCCCAUGCAGACGUCUUGCAUCAGAAAAUCUGGGGCUGGGGCCCAGCAAUCAGUGUCUCCAAAGGCCCUGAGAUCAUUCUAUUCAAGUUUGGGAACCAGCAACACAGCAUUUAAGUGGAAAUGUUUAUAGUUGCAAAGCCAGGUGAAGCUUGAAAUGCAUCAUAGAGGAAAUGAGGACAAGAAUGUAGAAAAAGAGUAAAAACAGAGAGGAAAAAAAUUUACAAGCCAUCAUAGAGUGAAAGAGCUUCCCCUGCUGCCUGGGGGUGUGGGAAAUGAGAGUUGCACCUGCUCACAAGUAUGACCAGCAAUUUAAUAUCUAUCUAGAGCUUUCAACCCUGCCAUGUCAAAUUUAUUUAGCUAAAAACAACUCUUGUGGUGGUGACCUUUUAUUCAGCUAAUAUUACUCCCCUCAAUGCCUCCAAAGCACACAGAGAAAUUGGAGGGCUGAUGAAAAUCUUUAAAGUCUACUAAAUACUAAAGCCUUCCCAAACACUGUGUACUUUUCAGAGAGAGUUUCUUUUUAUUGGAAUUUCAGAUUAUUGAAAGGUUAUCUGUCUCCUGUUCCUAGAGGGAUUAAAAUAAAACAAAAGCAAGAAGAACACAU
rnacentral:lncRNA from 10 species